UGGUGGGUUGCCUUGUCAGGUUGAUUCCGGUAACGAACGAGACCUCAGCCUGCUAAAUAGUCACGGCCUCCUCGGGGGCCGGCCGACUUCUUAGAGGGACUAUUGGCGACUAGCCAAUGGAAGCAUGAGGCAAUAACA
rnacentral:rRNA from 1 species